GUGGAUGUAGCUCAGCUGGUUAGAGCACCAGGUUGUGGUCCUGGCGGUCGUGGGUUCGAGUCCCAUCAUCCACCCCA
rnacentral:tRNA from 1 species